CUGUGACUCCCAAAAAAACGCUUCAUCAAAACUAUCCUUCGUCAACGCACCUGGACAACGCUUCAUGACCACAGAGCGCCCGCCGCCCCUCUCCCAGAGCUCGCCGGCCCAGAUUGAGGCCUCUCCCCGGUCUGUGCGUCGUUAGAAUCCCGCCGGUGUGCAUGCUCUUCCGCUCCUCACUCUUUCUUCCACGCCGCCGCCGUCCGCCAAUGACCUGUGCCGCCCCCGACCUCCAGAUCCGUCGUCCUUGACCGAGCUUCUCCGCGGUCCCCGUUGCUGGCCUUUUCCCCGUACAGGACCAGAUCCUCCCGACCUCGAGCUCCCCCGCCUCCUGCCAAUCCCUUCUAGGUGCGGCUUUUGCAGGCUGCAUCGCUGCUUGCCCAAAGGUUAGUUCUUCUCUGUUUUUUUUUGCUUUGUUCUUCCCUACUUUUCUUGCACAGUGAGGUUUCUUUUGUAUAUGGUGUUGUUUGCCUCAAAUUAUCCAAAUUGAGAUACAUUGACUUUUUAUGUUCGUUCUUUUAACAGUAUGGCAUUUCGUCAGGUAGUACCGUAGUAGUUGCUGCUAUGAACAUGGCCAAAAGACCUAAAAUUGUUGCCAUUAUGGCAUGUCUAGCGGUUUGUGAUUUAAUAUGUUGCUCUCUUUCUUUCAGUUCUUCUUCCGGUUCUACAUCCAUCUAUUGCUGGAUGUUGCACAGCUUCAGAAUUUUGUGCUCCUCACAUGCUUGGUACAAUGUCAACUCAAAAAUUUCCACUGAGUAAAACUUGUAAGAAACCAUUGGUAUAAUUUUGUGUUCUCAUUUCUUAAGUUGUCAAAUCAAAAAUAUCCACUGAGAUAGUUCCUAAUUGCAUAUCUAGACUAUGUGCUCACCAUUUGCCACUUAACAAAUAAUAAAUUUUGUUUUACAAAAAUACAAACAGUGACAUGAUUUUUUUUUUUUUGCAUUUAUAAGCAUAUGUUGGAUUCAUGCACUGUUGUGAGAGAAGAUAUGCAGGGAGAAGGAUAAUCGUGCCCAGCUCUGGAAAGAUGUUCAUCACACUGAUGGAUUUCACGACUGGAGGCUAGGGGAGCACAAGAACCAGGUGCUAUCAGCUGACGAAGGAGCUUUGGCGUGUUCGGCACCCGUGCGUGGUGGCACUCUGAGCUGCUGCUCCUUGGCCUGGAAGAAGGCUCUUCUCCUCUUCCACGUUAGGCCUGAAGUUAGUGAGUCUGGAAGUGCUUUAGCGGUUGAUGCUCUCUCCGUGGUUAAACGUGUUCUACUAGCAAAGAAGUACGGUGCAAACAUUAUUGUAGCUGUGAUGAUAAGCCAAAGGAAUCAUUCCCGGAGCAUUAUACUCAAAUGUCAAGCAUUAGAUGGCACCUUUCUGAAGGUUAGAACCAUUUCAAUACAAUGACUACUUAGUCAAGUGGUGUACAAAUAUGAAUCAGUCCAUGCAAGAUCAAAUUGGCUAUAAGUUACAGUUAAAGUCACAGACGGGAGGACUCCAUUGGAGAGAAGAAAGUUUGGUGGGAAGGAGAAUAGAGGAGUGAGAUGUCAUGGGAGCACCAAUAUAAAGCAGUGAGCUUCUCAUUACCUUAGUUAGAUGACUUGAUUUAUUAUAUAGCUACUUGAGGAAGAUUUUUCACUACUUCAAAAACGAACCGUGUAUUAUCCAUGUGUUGGUAUUAUAGCUAGCAGCUGCAAGGUAUUAAAGAGAUUCUCUUGAUAGCAACCAUACCCAACCAAUAAUUUAUUCAGUUGAGCAUUUCUAUUGGCUCCUAUAGAUGAACGAACAAUUUGAAGAAGGAUACUUUGAAAGGAACUAUUGUAUUC